rnacentral:lncRNA from 1 species
AGUUGAAAUCGAGGAGGAAGGCAAGAUUGAUCGGAAAAAAAAGUUCAUUUAUCGAAAAACUUUCGACGGAAACGAUCGAUGCUUAAGUCAGAGAUCUAGUAGAAAAGAUAGAAUGAAUGUAGAGGAGGAUAGCAUUGCUUAUCUGAGGGUCCCCUUGCUAUAUUUAUAUAUAGGACAAGAGCAGUGUCCGUUGUCUAGUUUAUUGGGUAGUAUUAUAACCGCUUGAUAAUAACUAACCAUGCCUUAACCACAUGGGACAGCUAUCCACAAUUGAUAGGUGAUGGUCAUUUCACCUCGGUCAAUCCUAAGGCGAAAAAGGUUAGAAAAGGUGAGGAUGAGUGGAUAGCCAAUAUUCUCCCCAUGAACCUCUCUUCGUGGGAUUGGUAGAUGGACUAGAUUCAAUGGACAUC